UUACACACACCUGGUUCCCAUUCCCCCUGAUUAGAAUGUGUAUAUGUGUGCCCUAUGUUACCAUGUCUGUUGGUCUUGUGAGCACCUGUGCUGUCGUAUUGGCUUACAUGCUACGUGUUAUUGGGUUACGGCCUUUGUAUUAUUUUGAUGUUUACACCUUACGCUUUUGUUUGGGUGGAGAAAAUACAAAAACACUUUCUUAUUCCUGCGCCUGUCUCCGAUCAUUAUACAACGUGACACCAUGGUGCUGUAAAGAAAGCUAUGCUGUUGGGACAACUUUAUUAUGGAGGAUUCGGACUACUUUGAGCAGUUCCCAGAGGAUGAAGAUGAAGCGUUGACUACGCCGGUGCCAGAGAUGGUGAAGCCCACUCCUGUGUGCCCAGUCAUUCUUCAACGAGAGCUCGACUUAGAAGUAACAGUGGAAUAACUCAUCAGUAUUUACCAGUUAUCUUUGAACUUGUCCAACCUUCCAUCAGCAGAUGGAACACUGUCCAGUACCACUAUCACUGGGUGAACAAUAACCUCAUGUGCCUUCCACAGCAAAUCAAUGAAGUGCUAUCCAUACCUGUAGCAUCCCAAGUCAACCAACUGACAACUGAACCUUCACCGGAACUGGACUGUUAAAUAGCGAAACUCAACGACCAACCCCAGGAGGAGCCCAAAGAUAGAAGUACCCCCACACCUCUGAGCUUGUCUCCAACAUCACUCCACAGCAGCAUGGCUGAAACCUUAGAGGCCGAAGAGGAGCAGGAGGGAGGAACCUCCACCCUGAAUCAGAACCACACAUCGAACCUGACCCACCUCACACAGAGAUCCAAGCCAACAUGCCUUCACUGGAAGAUGUUUCAUAUCAGUGUGCAUCCCGCCACACCAGAUGUAGUGGCGGAGGAGGAAGAUGUAGAGGAGGUGCCUCAGCAGGGGUCGAAGGUGGAGGCGGAGGAUCCAAGGCAAGAAGCAGAGAACGAGACAGAGGACAACAAAGUCCUUCAGAAUUCAGAAGCCAAGCACCAGCUUCCCAAGUCUCCUAGAACAUCCCUCGGAUCCCACCCAUUAUUGAGUUCAGUAGAACAGAAGGUAGCAACUCCCAGAUAGAGGUUUCCCUUGAGGCCCCCCCAUCUCUCCCAGAAGUGAUGAUAAGCAGCUGACAUCAAUGGAUGAUGGCAUGGCCAGAGAAGUUGGAGUCUUGAUUAUGGAGGAUACAGGGCCCGAGAGCUCCCAGGCAGAUUAGGAAGAGGUGUAGUGGCCACUUGCUAUCUUUUGAAGUAACAGACAACACCUCAGAUUCAUCCAUGACUAGGGUUGCACAUUUUGGGGAAUAUUCAGGUGGAAAAGUUCCUUGGGAAUAUGUGAAUUAAUGGAAAUAUGGGAAUUAAUAUUAAUACCAAUUAAAUAUAGAUGUUUUUUGCAUUGGAUAUAUUUACCAUAUAUGGAGACAAACAUUUUACCUUAUCAUAAGUAGACAUAAUUGCAAAUGAUUAAAUCCUUCCAAUA